rnacentral:lncRNA from 10 species
GCGAGCUGGAGCACUAGUGGAGUUGGCGGGAAAGGCACGGCUGCGGGCGCCCCCUGUCCGCACGGAGGAGCCGAAGUCCCGCAGGGUGGGGUCCCCGCCUGCGCCGAGAGGGCCACCUGGUCGAGAGAACAGGCGACACGGAAACCUGAGAAACUCCUCUGUCUGGUGCACCUAACCCUCUUCCUCAUAAAGUGCACACGAACUCUGGUUUUUCCGUUGCAAAUUUUGCUUUCUACAUAGACCAUACCAUUCGUUGCUCUCUGAGGAUGAGCUCCUGGCUUCCCAGUCCAGCAGAAGUAUCUACAUCUAUUUCUGGAAAGGACCUGAACUUGGCUUCUCGUCCUUCUGGAAAGUGAGGCGAAAAUGCCAGGCUGCGCAGCUAUCCUGAGGCCCGGCCUGGAACCUGGCUAGCCACCCAGUCCUGAUACCUCAUCUCCUUUCUGUUGGAUAAAGUCAUUGGAUAAGAUCCCCCAGGGUCUUCUUAAUACUGAACAUCUGUUCAUAAUCACAUAAGUGACCAAGUAUAGUGGAAAACCCGAAUGGUCAACUGAGCUGAGCAGUGGGAGAGAGCGCAGGGUGAGCUCACCUACACCUGAGCAAGAAGCCGGGGCUAAAUACGUGGAAAUCACUGAGAUGGAUUUUGAUACAGGGCAGAAAGAAGAGUAAAAUCAUCUCAUAUUACUUUCCACCUGAAGCUCUGAGCCGAAAGAGUUAUUUGCUCAAACACUCUGAAAUGGGGAGGGACAGAGCUCUGACCCCUCCGUCCAGGCCUGUUUGUUGUUUUUUUUUUUUGUUUGUUUUGUUUUUUUUUUUUUGUGAGACGGAGUUUCAUUCUUGUUGCCCAGGCUGGAGUGCCAUGGCGCGAUCUCGGCUCACCGCAAACUCCGCCUCCUGGGUUCAAGCGAUUCUCCUGCCUCAGCCUCCGGAGUAGCUGGGAUUACAGGCAUGCGCCACCAUGCCCGGCUAAUUUUUUUUUUUUUUUUUUUUUUUUUAGUAGAGACGGGGUUUCUCCAUGUUGAUCAUGCUGGUCUCAAACUCCAGAUCUCAGGCCCGCCUCGGCCUCCCAAAGUGCUGGGAUUACAGGCGUGAGCCACCGCGCUCGCCCCGUCAGGACUCUUUCUUGAGGUUUUGUCUUCUGUUCCUUGUGGACUCUCCCUUGCCAGCCUUGAGGAAGGAGCUGCCAUGUUGGAGGCUACCCUAUGGAGAAGCCCAUGUAGCAAGGACAUAAGGGUGGCUGGUGGCCCAGACAGAAAGGAGCUGAGGCUCUCGGCCCAACAGCCUGAAAAGAACUGAAGUUACACCCACAAUGACAUGACUUUGGAAGCAGAUCCCUGAGUCUUCAGAUGAGACCUCAGAACUGGCCAACACCUUGAUUGAAGCCCUAAUGAGAGACCCUGAAGUAGAGGGCCCUCCUAAGCCAUGCCUGGAUCCGUGACUCAUAGGAACUGUGAGCCUACCAUGAAGUCGCCGGGGAUGGACAAACUGGAGGACGACUCCGCACCUGAUGUUUAAGAGAAAGUGCAGCCUCCAUGCUGCUGGCAGGUAAACAAUGUUCCAGAAAGGCAGGAAGAAGGAACUCUAAGGGUGAGUUCUCACACCAUCAGCCUGCAGUGCUGUGUUCCUAUUUCUUUAUGCCAACUUGUGACAGGUAAAGCCUAGCUCACAUAGUCAAGGCCAAGCUGCAAGGGAGUCUGGGGAAGUGAGCAUCUCGCAUUUUCAGCUGUGUAACUGAAGAGAAUAACAAAUGUCUACAGAGGAGGAGGUAUUAGAAUAAAGGUGGAAUAACCAGGAGGAACCAGCCAUGCAGUAAUCUGGGGGAGGGGCUUCCUAAACAGGAAAGAGCAGAUGCAAAUUCCCUGGGUGGAGGUGAGCUUGCUGUGUUUGCGGAACAGAGAAGGCCAGUGCAGUUCAGCAGUGAGGGAGAGGAGGGGAAGGAGAUGAGAAAGAAAGAAGUCAGGGGCCAGGUAAUGUAGUACCUUGUGAAGUAGGAUUAGGAGCUUGCAUUUUAUUCUAAGCACAGUGGGAAGAUUCCUGUACUAGUUUCCUAGGACUACUGUAAACAUUUACCACAAAGUUGGUUACUUGAAACAACAGAAAUUUAUUCCCUCAGAGUUGUGGAGGCCAGAAAUACAAAAUGGAAGUGUUGGCAGGGUUGAGCCUUCUGAACCCUUUUGAGGGAUAAUGUUUGUGCUGCUUUCCUAGCAUCUGCUGGCUGCUGGCAACACCUGGCAUUCCUUGGCUUGUAGACACAUCACUGCAAUCUCUGCUUUCAUCGUCACAGGGCCUUUUCCGUGUGUGUCUGUGUCAAAUCUCUCUCUCCUUUCUAAGGACACUAGUCACUGGAUUUGGGGCCCAACCUACAUCUAAGACUGAACUCAUUCUGAGAUCCUUAACUUAAUUAGAUUUGCAAAGAUCGUAUUUCCAGGCCAUGCGUGAUGGUACGCCUGUAGUCCUAGCUACUCGGGAGGCUGAGGCAGGAGGGUCCCUUGAGUCCAGGAGUUUAAGGCUGCAGUGAACUAUGAUUGCACCACUGCACUCCAGCCUGGGGGACAGAGGGAGAGCCUAUGUUUAAACAACAUAACACAGUACAACACAACACAACACAACAAAACACCACACUGUGCAAAGACCAUAUUUCCAAAUAUUCAUAGGUUUUGGAUGUGAGGACUAG